AUUGAACGCUGGCGGCAUGCUUUACACAUGCAAGUCGAACGGUAACAGGGAGCUUGCUCCGCUGACGAGUGGCGAACGGGUGAGUAAUGCAUCGGAACGUACCCAGUCGUGGGGGAUAACGUAGCGAAAGUUACGCUAAUACCGCAUACGUCCUGAGGGAGAAAGCGGGGGACCGAAAGGCCUCGCGCGAUUGGAGCGGCCGAUAUCAGAUUAGGUAGUUGGUGGGGUAAAGGCUCACCAAGCCAACGAUCUGUAGCUGGUCUGAGAGGACGACCAGCCACACUGGAACUGAGACACGGUCCAGACUCCUACGGGAGGCAGCAGUGGGGAAUUUUGGACAAUGGACGCAAGUCUGAUCCAGCCAUUCCGCGUGCAGGAUGAAGGCCCUCGGGUUGUAAACUGCUUUUGUACGGAACGAAAAGGUUUCUAUUAAUACUAGGAGCUCAUGACGGUACCGUAAGAAUAAGCACCGGCUAACUACGUG
rnacentral:rRNA from 1 species